UACGGGGGGGGCAAGCGUUGUUCGGAAUUACUGGGCGUAAAGGGCUCGUAGGCGGCCAACUAAGUCAGACGUGAAAUCCCUCAGCUUAACUGGGGAACUGCGUCUGAUACUGGAUGGCUUGGAUUCGGGAGAGGAAUGCGGAAUUCCAGGUGUAGCGGUGAAAUGCGUAGAUAUCUGGAGGAAUACUGGUGGCGAAGGCGGCAUCCUGGACCGACAUUGACGCUGAUGAGCGAAAGCUAGGGGAGCAAACGGG
rnacentral:rRNA from 1 species